UCAUUUCUCUCCCGCUCUGGAACUCUGUGUUCUGCCAGGGACACGGUUUGUGAGGCAGGCCUGCGGCCUUCCAUGCAGCUGGUGGGGACUGUAAACUCAAGAAAGCAGGAACUAUGUCUUCCUUAUUCAUCACUGGGUCCCCAUGCUUAGAACAGCGCCUGGCACAGAGAAGGGGCUCGACUGGUUCAAGCUGCACCUCUGGCGUGCUCCCACAGCCCCUGAGCUGCCUCCCUGCAGACGCCAUACCUGCCGUGGCUGCUUGUUUGCUGAGUAGCCUCUCCCACUGAACUCUGGGCAACUUGAGAUAAAUGAAGAUUUUGAGGCCAAAGGAGAAUUGCAGGGAAGAUAAAUCCUGAACACUUUUCAAACAUUUCAGAACGCACACUCCCUUUGAAGAGUAAAAAAGGAUAUUUGCCGCCCUGGCUUGUCCCCAGACCUUCGGUGCAGGGGGUGGAAGCGGUUCCUGGAUGGCCUCUCCACCAGCCCGUGAUGGCGGGUUCCCCGAACAUUAUCAGCUUGGUGAAAUGACGGCUGCAGAGAGAAGGGAAGAAGAGUUGGCCUCCAACCAUGAAAUUGUCACUCACCCUCAAGAACAACUGAUAACCACAGCAGAUGAAAGGACCGAUUUUACAGUUUUACUUAUUAUACAUUAGUGGGCCUUGGGUCAAGGUAAAUAAAGUAGUAUAUGGAA